rnacentral:rRNA from 1 species
CGCGUAGGCGGGAUGGCAAGUCGGUCGUGAAAUCCUUCGGCUCAACCGAAGAACGUCGGCCGAAACUGCCAUUCUUGAGGGAUGCAGAGGAGACUGGAAUUCCCGGUGUAGCGGUGAAAUAUGUAGAGAUCGGGAGGAACACCGGUGGCGAAGGCGGGUCUCUGGGCAUCUCCUGACGCUGAGGCGCGAAAGCGUGGGGAGCAAACGGGAUUAGAUACCCCGGUAGUCCACGCUGUAAACGAUGACGACUAGGUGUGGGGUGGUUCAGUCCACUCCGUGCCGCAGCUAACGCAUUAAGUCGUCCGCCUGGGGAGUACGGCCGCAAGGUUGAA